rnacentral:lncRNA from 1 species
CAAGACUGCUUUCAUACUUCCUUCCCGUUUGUGUUAGCUGGCUGUCACGGAGUGAUCUAGAUCAGUGUAUGCCUGUGGCGGGCAGUGGGCCUGUUUUCCUGUGUUUGGCUUCCUUGCUUUGCCAUGAUGCUGUCUUGAGUUCAUGUGCUGGACUCUUGUAUUUCGUGUCUUUGUUUUGCUUUGCUCUGUUUCCCUUGUUGUUUGCUGUUCUUUUGUCAGUCUUGCUUUAUUGCUGCUCCUGUGUUGCAAUACCUUGGUUUUGUUCAGAUGUGGUGAUUGAUACUUUUCCCUUUCCCAUUCUUGGAACUCUUUUCUCCCUCCUUCAUGGUGUUCCUCUUUGUUUCUCGGCUUUUCAGGUGAUUGUGCUUUGCCUUCCUUGGCUUUUUGG